rnacentral:misc_RNA from 1 species
GCCUGUUCGAGCGUCAUUACAACCCUCAAGCUCUGCUUGGUCUUGGGCGUCACCACCCGGUGCGCCUCAAAAACAGUGGCGGUGCGUCUGGCUUCAAGCGUAGUAAUUUCUCUCGCUCCGGAGUCCAGGCGAGUGCUCGCCAGAACCCCCAAUUUAUCAAGGUUGACCUCGGAUCAGGUAGGGAUACCCGCUGAACUUAA